rnacentral:rRNA from 1 species
CCUACGGGGGGCAGCAGUGGGGAAUAUUGCACAAUGGGGGGAACCCUGAUGCAGCGACGCCGCGUGAGUGAAGAAGUAUUUCGGUAUGUAAAGCUCUAUCAGCAGGGAAGAAGAUGACGGUACCUGAGUAAGAAGCCCCGGCUAACUACGUGCCAGCAGCCGCGGUAAUACGUAGGGGGCAAGCGUUAUCCGGAUUUACUGGGUGUAAAGGGAGCGCAGACGGCUAUGCAAGUCUGAAGUGAAAGCCCGGGGCUCAACCCCGGGAUUGCUUUGGAAACUGUGUAGCUAGAGUGUCGGAGAGGUAAGCAGAAUUCCCAGUGUAGCGGUGAAAUGCGUAGAUAUUGGGAAGAAUACCGGUGGCGAAGGCGGCUUACUGGACGAUAACUGACGUUCAGGCUCGAAGGCGUGGGGAGCAAACAGGAUUAGAUACCCCAGUAGUC